rnacentral:rRNA from 1 species
AUUGAACGCUGGCGGCAUGCCUUACACAUGCAAGUCGAACGGUAGAGGGGGCAACCCCUCGAGAGUGGCGAACGGGUGAGUAAUGCAUCGGAACGUGCCCAGUAGUGGGGGAUAGCCCGGCGAAAGCCGGAUUAAUACCGCAUACGACCUACGGGUGAAAGGGGGGGAUCGCAAGACCUCUCGUUAUUGGAGCGGCCGAUGUCAGAUUAGGUAGUUGGUGGGGUAAAGGCCUACCAAGCCGACGAUCUGUAGCUGGUCUGAGAGGACGACCAGACACACUGGGACUGAGACACGGCCCAGACUCCUACGGGAGGCAGCAGUGGGGAAUUUUGGACAAUGGGCGCAAGCCUGAUCCAGCCAUGCCGCGUGCGGGAAGAAGGCCUUCGGGUUGUAAACCGCUUUUGUCAGGGAAGAAAUCCUUUGAGUUAAUACCUCGGGGGGAUGACGGUACCUGAAGAAUAAGCACCGGCUAACUACGUGCCAGCCGCCGCCGUAAGAC